AUAAUAAAAUGAUGUUAUACAGCUGCAAAAAAUAUCUUUAAGUAAAGGCAUCAGACUGACCUAUUAUUCACACAAUUUCCUCCUCUUUUCCUUGAUUGUGGUGCCUGUAGUUGAGCAGGAAUUGCUUACAGUACCUUUUUAAAGCACCUGAGUUCACCCUCCGUUUUUUUUAUAUGGUUGCUCAAUCUAUAGUUUUCAGUGUACUUUUUGUGGACUGUUUAGAUAGCAAGGUAUAGAUUUGUGAAUUUUUUAUGAUUAUCCUAAAGGUGGUUGCCAUGAUUGCACAGUGAAUAAUCCCAAAUGCUUUGAUAAUAUAAAAUCUUUUUCUGACAUCACACACCCUAAAAAAAUAAAAUGAGUAAUUUUUCAUUGCAUUUAUGGACUAAAAUUUCGAUGACAGGGCAACCAUCUUAAUUUCUUUGGUGGGGGGCGGACUUUUUUACAUGGAAUAUUCAUUUUCAUCUGUUGUUAUAUGUUUUCACAUUUGUACACAAUUAUUUUCUCUAUCUUGUAGGGCAGUAGAUACAUUUUCCUUUUGCCAAUACAUAUUCCCUUAAUAACCAUGAAAUUCAGAAAAAAAGAUAACAGCCAUUUAAAAGCACCAAUUAAACACUAAAAGAUCAAUUUAAAAGAUAAUAUAUUCAAAUUGCAUCUUGAUGGCUGUAACAUCCAUCUUUACCAACUCAACCUUUAUAACAUGGUAAUUUAUAGGAAUUUUAUUUAUCUACACUUCUACCUGUAUCAAGUAAACAAAGUUGUUAUAUUCAAUAUAAUUUUCUCUGUUUCUAAUGUAAACAUAGUUUAUAAGUGCUAGCAGUGAAAUCAACCUUGAAGCUUGAGGCAUUCAUUACUAUACAGGCGAGUGGUGAUGAUAAGUGUAUAAGAUUGGUGUGAAGAGGAUUUCCUAUUCAAAUUGUUGUAAAGUUCAGACCUUUUUAAGAAGAUUUCUUAUACAUACAAAUUGGAAUUAACUUCAUUUAUUGUACUAUAAUUAUCAAGAAAUUGUUACAGUAACAGAUUAAAAUCUAAAAUAUUACAGAAUGGGAUCUGGUGAAGGAAGUGGAGAAGGCAAAGGCAAAGCAGAAUUAUGUCCAGGAAUAUUAUGGGCGAUAUUGUGGUUCCUCAUCUUGUGGUUCCUAGCAUGGCCAGUUGCCUUCUUUAUAGCCUGGCUUUAUGUACUUUUAAUUCCAUUUAGUGCUUGUAUAGAACCAAUCAAAGGUGUAUGUGAAGCCAUUUUAAAAGUAGUAAAUCUUCCUUUGACUUGUGCCGAAAAUAUGAUUGCAAUGAAACCACUGUGUGGAUAAAAACUACUACAUUUUAUACAACUUUUAUACAAUGUAUCUAUUUAUUCAAAUCUAGAAUAUUAGCUUAUUUAUGACAAAAAAAUGUAUAUUUUUGUUUAAGUUGCAACAAAUAUGUUGAUAUUUUGUUUAUAUACUGAUUUUUAUUAAAUUCAAUAUACUUUCUUA